UACGUAGGGGGCGAGCGUUGUCCGAAGUUACUGGGCGUAAAGGGCGCGUAGGCGGCGUGGUAAGUCACUUGUGAAAUCUCUGAGCUUAACUCAGAACGGCCAAGUGAUACUGCUGUGCUAGAGUGCAGAAGGGCAAUCGGAAUUCUUGGUGUAGCGGUGAAAUGCGUAGAUAUCAAGAGGAACACCUGAGGUGAAGACGGGUUGCUGGCUGACACUGACGCUGAGCGCGAAGCCAGGGAGCAACGGG
rnacentral:rRNA from 1 species